UUGUCUCAAAGAUUAAGCCAUGCAUGUCUCAGUACAAGCCGCAUUAAGGUGAAACCGCGAAAGGCUCAUUAAAUCAGUUAUGGUUCCUUAGAUCGUACCCACGUUACUUGGAUAACUGUGGUAAUUCUAGAGCUAAUACAUGCAAACAGAGCUCCGACCGGAGACGGGAGGAGUGCUUUUAUUAGAUCAAAACCAAUCGGCGGCGGGCGCGUCCGCGCGUCCGUUCGCCGCUCUACCUGGUGACUCUGAAUAACUUUCCGCUGAUCGCACGGUCUCGCACCGGCGACGUAUCUUUCAAAUGUCUGCCUUAUCAACUGUCGAUGGUAGGUUCUGCGCCUACCAUGGUCGUAACGGGUAACGGGGAAUCAGGGUUCGAUUCCGGAGAGGGAGCCUGAGAAACGGCUACCACAUCCAAGGAAGGCAGCAGGCGCGCAAAUUACCCACUCCCGGCACGGGGAGGUAGUGACGAAAAAUAACGAUACGGGACUCAUCCGAGGCCCCGUAAUCGGAAUGAGUACA
rnacentral:rRNA from 1 species